UAAUAAUGUCACUUUUGUUCUGCAGCUACUCACAUCGGCAUUUUCAUUGAUUGAUGACUGAAUAUAUCUAUUUUUCAAAAGUAACGCAAUUUCCGGCCUACAAACUGCGACUUUUUUCACACGCUUUCAACCCUGAGGUUUAUGCGGUGAUGCAGCUAAUUUGUGCAUUUUUUCUAACGGCCGCAAGGGGGCGCUCAGUUGGAAAAGGUAAGAAUGAGACUGGUGGCCAAGGAAGUGACCUUCACACCGGCCCUGUUAGUGCUGGGCUAGCGUUAGCGCUGUGCUGACGUGUUUCAGUGAUAUUUACUGACUUGGCAGCCGGCGAGCACCUCAGGAGCCAUCUGACGUGGCCAGAAAUACUUUCCACGGGUGUCAAACACAAGGCCCGGGGGCCGGAUGCGGCCCGCUGCAUGAUUUUAUGUGGCCCUCGUGUGUCCAAUUAAUGCAUGUUUUUGGGAUAUGGGAGGAAACCAGAGUGCCCGGAGAAAACCCACGCAGGCACGGGGAGAACUCUCAAACUCCACACAGGCAGGCCAACGCUUUACCAGCUGCUCCACCGUGCCGCCUAUCCCAAAAACAUGCAACAUUAAUUGGACAGUCUAAAUUGCCACCAUCAGGCUCCUGCACUUCUGCGACCCUCGUGGGGAUAAGCGGCUAAGAAAAUGGAUGGAUGG